rnacentral:rRNA from 1 species
AACGAACGCUGGCGGCAUGCCUAACACAUGCAAGUCGAACGAGACCUUCGGGUCUAGUGGCGCACGGGUGCGUAACGCGUGGGAACCUGCCUUUAGGUUCGGAAUAACUCAGAGAAAUUUGAGCUAAUACCGGAUGAUGUCUUCGGACCAAAGAUUUAUCGCCUUUAGAUGGGCCCGCGUUGGAUUAGCUAGUUGGUGGGGUAAAGGCCUACCAAGGCGACGAUCCAUAGCUGGUCUGAGAGGAUGAUCAGCCACACUGGGACUGAGACACGGCCCAGAACGCUACGGGACGCAGCAGUGGGGAAUAUUGUACAAUGGGGGAAGGCCUGACCCAGCAAUGUCGCGGGAGUGAUGAAGGCCGUAGGGUUGUAAAGCUCUUUUAGCCGAGAUGAUAAUGACAGUAACGGGAGAAUAAGCACCGGCUAACUACGUG